rnacentral:tRNA from 1 species
GAUGGCGUGGCGGAAGCCGCCCGCCGCUGUGCGCGCGGCGAGAUGUUCGGCAGUAUCGAGCAGGUGGCGGUGCAGUUCUUCCACGCCCUCGCC